UACGGAGGGUGCAAGCGUUAUCCGGAUUCACUGGGUUUAAAGGGUGCGUAGGUGGGUAAGUAAGUCCGUGGUGAAAUCUCUGAGCUUAACUCAGAAACUGCCGUGGAUACUAUUUAUCUUGAAUAUUGUGGAGGUGAGCGGAAUAUGUCAUGUAGCGGUGAAAUGCUUAGAUAUGACAUAGAACACCAAUUGCGAAGGCAGCUCACUACACAAUUAUUUGACGCUGAGGCACGAAAGCGUGGGGAUCGAACAGG
rnacentral:rRNA from 1 species